CGUCAUAUUUUUCUCCUGAUUUUCCCACUGGGUUUUUAUAGGAGUUUUAGCGACAUAUCUCUUAAUAUGGCUCCUCACAUUUUUCCUAAACGGUUUUUAGAGGAGUUAUCUUUAUGUCGUAUCUCCAAUAUUUUUCCCCACUGGGGUUUUUAAUUGGAAUACCAAUGACAUAGUGGUUUGUUUAAAUCACACAAAUAUAUGCUACCUUCUCCUUGUUUUCCUAUAAAG
rnacentral:lncRNA from 1 species